CUGGCCGAGGAUGGGUCCGCGGUGGAUUAGCUUGUUGGUGGGGUAAUGGCCCACCAAGGCGACGAUCCAUAGCUGGUCUGAGAGGACGAUCAGCCACACUGGGACUGAGACACGGCCCAG
rnacentral:rRNA from 1 species